rnacentral:tRNA from 1 species
AAAGGGAGACCUAAUUCAGGUAGGAGACGAAAAAAAAGUAGUCCCUACCAAGAAUCAAUCCCAAAAGGUCGGAGCGAGGCGAAAUUGGCUUUCAAACUAGGUUCUGGGUUCAAACAAGACCUGAAUCAGGAACAAGGGCUAUUAGCUCAGGUGGUUAGAGCGCACCCCUGAUAAGGGUGAGGUCCCUGGUUCGAGUCCAGGAUGGCCCACCUGUACAGGUGGCAAAAAGAAAGAAAAGAAGCGAGGAAUCAGCACCUUAUCUUACUUAUAUAGUAAGAGAGAAUGCUGGCUCUGAGUUCAGAGUCCAGAGGAACCUUGAAAACUGCAUAGGGCUAGGUGAAAAAGCCAAAAAAGAAGACCGCAGG